rnacentral:rRNA from 1 species
UACAGAGGUCCCAAGCGUUGUUCGGAUUCAUUGGGCGUAAAGGGUGCGUAGGCGGCGCGGUAAGUCUGGUGUGAAAUCUCGGAGCUUAACUCCGAAACUGCAUUCGAUACUGCCGUGCUUGAGGACUGGAGAGGAGACUGGAAUUUACAGUGUAGCGGUGAAAUGCGUAGAUAUCGUAAGGAAGACCAGUGGCGAAGGCGGGUCUCUGGACAGUUCCUGACGCUGAGGCACGAAGGCUAGGGGAGCAAACAGG